rnacentral:rRNA from 1 species
CCUACGGGAGGCAGCAGUGAGGAAUAUUGGUCAAUGGCCGCAGGGCUGAACCAGCCAAGUCGCGUGAGGGAUGACGGUCCUAUGGAUUGUAAACCUCUUUUGUCAGGGAGCAAAGGGCGCCACGUGUGGCGCUUUGCGAGUACCUGAAGAAAAAGCAUCGGCUAACUCCGUGCCAGCAGCCGCGGUAAUACGGAGGAUGCGAGCGUUAUCCGGAUUUAUUGGGUUUAAAGGGUGCGCAGGCGGAAUGUCAAGUCAGCGGUAAAAAUUCGGGGCUCAACCCCGUCGUGCCGUUGAAACUGGCGUUCUUGAGUGAGCGAGAAGUAUGCGGAAUGCGUGGUGUAGCGGUGAAAUGCAUAGAUAUCACGCAGAACUCCGAUUGCGAAGGCAGCAUACCGGCGCUCAACUGACGCUCAUGCACGAAAGCGUGGGUAUCGAACAGGAUUAGAUACCCCAGUAGUC